GAUGAACGCUGGCGGCGUGCCUAAUACAUGCAAGUCGAGCGAACAGACGAGGAGCUUGCUCCUCUGACGUUAGCGGCGGACGGGUGAGUAACACGUGGAUAACCUACCUAUAAGACUGGGAUAACUUCGGGAAACCGGAGCUAAUACCGGAUAAUAUAUUGAACCGCAUGGUUCAAUAGUGAAAGACGGUUUUGCUGUCACUUAUAGAUUGAUCCGCGCCGCAUUAGCUAGUUGGUAAGGUAACGGCUUACCAAGGCAACGAUGCGUAGCCGACCUGAGAGGGUGAUCGGCCACACUGGAACUGAGACACGGUCCAGACUCCUACGGGAGGCAGCAGUAGGGAAUCUGCCGCAAUGGGCGAAAGCCUGACGGAGCAACGCCGCGUGAGUGAUGAAGGUCUUCGGAUCGUAAAACUCUGUUAUUAGGGAAGAACAAAUGUGUAAGUAACUAUGCACGUCUUGACGGUACCUAAUCAGAAAGCCACGGCGAACUGCGU
rnacentral:rRNA from 1 species